rnacentral:rRNA from 1 species
AGCGAACGCUGGCGGCAGGCCUAACACAUGCAAGUCGAACGAACUCUUCGGAGUUAGUGGCGGACGGGGGAGUAACACGUGGGAACGUGCCUGUUGGUUCGGAAUAACUCAGGGAAACUUGUGCUAAUACCGAAUGUGCCCUUCGGGGGAAAGAUUUAUCGCCAUUAGAGCGGCCCGCGUCUGAUUAGCUAGUUGGUGAGGUAACGGCUCACCAAGGCGACGAUCAGUAGCUGGUCUGAGAGGAUGACCAGCCACGCUGGGACUAAGACCCGGCCCAGACUCCUACGGGAGGCAGCAGUGGGGAAUCUUGCGCAAUGGGCGAAAGCCUGACGCAGCCAUGCCGCGUAAAUGAUGAAGGUCUUAGGAUUGUAAAAUUCUUUCACCGGGGACGACAAUGACGGUACCCGGAGAAGAAGCCCCGGCUAACUUCGUG